UCCUUCCCAUUCCGAACAGGAAAGUUAAGGUCUAUAGCGCCGAUGGUACUGCACGGGCGACUGUGUGGCAGAGUAGGACGUUGCGAGGU
rnacentral:rRNA from 1 species